rnacentral:rRNA from 1 species
GCAUAUCAAUAAGCGGAGGAAAAGAAACCAACAGGGAUUGCCUUAGUAACGGCGAGUGAAGCGGCAAAAGCUCAAAUUUGAAAUCUAGCACUUUCAGUGUUCGAGUUGUAAUUUGAAGAAGGUAACUUUGGAAUUGGCUCUUGUCUAUGUUCCUUGGAACAGGACGUCACAGAGGGUGAGAAUCCCGUGCGAUGAGAUGUCCAAUUCUAUGUAAAGUGCUUUCGAAGAGUCGAGUUGUUUGGGAAUGCAGCUCUAAGUGGGUGGUAAAUUCCAUCUAAAGCUAAAUAUUGGCGAGAGACCGAUAGCGAACAAGUACAGUGAUGGAAAGAUGAAAAGAACUUUGAAAAGAGAGUGAAAAAGUACGUGAAAUUGUUGAAAGGGAAGGGCUUGAGAUCAGACUUGGUAUUUUGUGUUCCUUAUUCUUUUUGGAUUUGGUUCCUCACAGCUUACCGGGCCAGCAUCGGUUUGGAUGGUAGGAUAAUGACAUUGGAAUGUAGCUUUGCUUCGGUGAAGUGUUAUAGACUUUGUUGAUACUGCCUAUCUAGACCGAGGACUGCGUCUUUGACUAGGAUGCUGGCGUAAUGAUCUUAAGCCGCCCGUCUUGAAACACGGACCAAGGAGUCUAACGUCUAUGCGAGUGUUUGGGUGUAAAACCCGUACGCGUAAUGAAAGUGAACGUAGGUGAGAGCCUUUUAGGUGCAUCAUCGACCGAUCCUGAUGUCUUCGGAUGGAUUUGAGUAAGAGCAUAGCUGUUGGGACCCGAAAGAUGGUGAACUAUGCCUGAAUAGGGUGAAGCCAGAGGAAACUCUGGUGGAGGCUCGUAGCGGUUCUGACGUGCAAAUCGAUCGUCGAAUUUGGGUAUAGGGGCGAAAGACUAAUCGAACCAUCUAGUAGCUGGUUCCUGCCGA